rnacentral:rRNA from 1 species
AACGAACGCUGGCGGCAUGCCUAACACAUGCAAGUCGAACGAGACCUUCGGGUCUAGUGGCGCACGGGUGCGUAACGCGUGGGAAUCUGCCCUUGGGUUCGGAAUAACAGUGAGAAAUUACUGCUAAUACCGGAUGAUGUCUUCGGACCAAAGAUUUAUCGCCCAGGGAUGAGCCCGCGUAGGAUUAGCUAGUUGGUGGGGUAAUGGCCUACCAAGGCGACGAUCCUUAGCUGGUCUGAGAGGAUGAUCGGCCACACUGGGACUGAGACACGGCCCAGACUCCUACGGGAGGCAGCAGUGGGGAAUAUUGGACAAUGGGCGCAAGCCUGAUCCAGCAAUGCCGCGUGAGUGAUGAAGGCCUUAGGGUUGUAAAGCUCUUUUACCCGGGAUGAUAAUGACAGUACCGGGAGAAUAAGCUCCGGCUAACUCCGUG